CACUGAAUUACCACUGGAAAUGCAACUAAGAAUAACGACCUUCUUGGAAUACUGGAGUUAUCAAACAUUUGAAAGACAACUAGGUUAAAGUUCCAAUUUAAAAAAACCAACAAAACCCUGGAAGAUCUGAAAGUCUGGAAGAACUUGACCAGCAAUCAUCACAUCAGAGCCAAAUACAGAGAUCCAGACUAACACGGCUACCCCUCUGAAUCUUGAAAUUGAUAGUAAUUGUCUUUGAGCAUUCACGAAGGAGAAGUGAGGCCCCUGAGGACUGGAGAAAGGCAAACAUAAUACCCAUCUAUAGUAAGUCAAAGUGGCCUCCCUCUGAAUUGGAGAGCGAGGCACCUCUACAUGCCCUCUGGUGGGCGGAGCCGAAUAUGUCCCACCCUCAGCACAAGAAGUCCUGGGACAGGGCAGGGAGUAUAAAAGGCGAGCCCUGAAGCUCAGUUGGGGCUGGGCCACCGGAGGGAGCAGACGUCUCUUCCAGGGAGCAGAGAUCUUUGCAGGAUCCCAGAUUAACCCCCAAGUGGAGCCAUGCGCUGCAGUUAGAGGAGAAGGACAAGUAUCCUGAGGAGCUGCCAGGACCAUCAUCAGAUGAAUGUCCUGAAGAGUUAUGGGGACUGCUGGCAGCCGAGUAUCCUGAGGGGACAGAAGAUCUUUGGACUAUGGAGCCCUACACCCAGACUGUGGUAGGAAGUAGCCAAGGGGAACCAGACUUUAGUCCAGUUCUGCUGCUGUAGAGCGAGUCAGCGUGUUUUGGGAGGAUCCCCGCUGACCCAAGGGCAGACCCAUCUGCCACUGUUAAGGCCCUGGGCUGGAACCCGGUGGAGUAUGACUGUAAGUGUCUCAGCUGGAGGGCUGAGUCACUGAAAACCCAUCUGAAAAGAGAAACUGCCAGCAGAGAGCAUCACAAAAGCAGAGAGUGCAGGAACAUACCUGGCCAGUAGGAGGCACUUACAAGAGG